AAUCCAUAGGUUAAUGAGGCGAACCGGGGGAACUGAAACAUCUAAGUACCCCGAGGAAAAGAAAUCAACCGAGAUUCCCCCAGUAGCGGCGAGCGAACGGGGAGGAGCCCAGAGCCUGAAUCAGCAUGUGUGUUAGUGGAAGCGUCUGGAAAGGCGCGCGAUACAGGGUGACAGCCCCGUACACAAAAGCGCAUGUGCUGUGAGCUCGAUGAGUAGGGCGGGACACGUGGUAUCCUGUCUGAAUAUGGGGGGACCAUCCUCCAAGGCUAAAUACUCCUGACUGACCGAUAGUGAACCAGUACCGUGAGGGAAAGGCGAAAAGAACCCCGGCGAGGGGAGUGAAAAAGAACCUGAAACCGUGUACGUACAAGCAGUGGGAGCCCCACCACCAAAGCGUUUCGCUUUGUGUGGUGCACAAAGAAGCGUAACGACAGCACUGAAUGACGGUUAACGGAGCGCAAGCGACGUUCAACAUACAAAGUCAAGCAGUGGAGCGCUUUGGGGUGGGGUGACUG
rnacentral:rRNA from 1 species